UGGGGAAUAUUGGACAAUGGGCGCAAGCCUGAUCCAGCCAUGCCGCGUGUGUGAAGAAGGCCUUUUGGUUGUAAAGCACUUUAAGCGAGGAGGAGGCUACUUAGAUUAAUACUCUAGGAUAGUGGACGUUACUCGCAGAAUAAGCACCGGCUAACUCUGUGCCAGCAGCCGCGGUAAUACAGAGGGUGCGAGCGUUAAUCGGAUUUACUGGGCGUAAAGCGUGCGUAGGCGGCUUUUUAAGUCGGAUGUGAAAUCCCUGAGCUUAACUUAGGAAUUGCAUUCGAUACUGGGAAGCUAGAGUAUGGGAGAGGAUGGUAGAAUUCCAGGUGUAGCGGUGAAAUGCGUAGAGAUCUGGAGGAAUACCGAUGGCGAAGGCAGCCAUCUGGCCUAAUACUGACGCUGAGGUACGAAAGCAUGGGGAGCAAACAGG
rnacentral:rRNA from 2 species